rnacentral:rRNA from 1 species
AUUGAACGCUGGCGGCAUGCUUUACACAUGCAAGUCGGACGGCAGCACAGAGAAGCUUGCUUCUUGGGUGGCGAGUGGCGAACGGGUGAGUAAUAUAUCGGAACGUACCGAGUAAUGGGGGAUAACUAAUCGAAAGAUUAGCUAAUACCGCAUAUUCCCUGAGGAGGAAAGCAGGGGACCUUCGGGCCUUGCGUUAUUCGAGCGGCCGAUAUCUGAUUAGCUAGUUGGUGGGGUAAAGGCCUACCAAGGCGACGAUCAGUAGCGGGUCUGAGAGGAUGAUCCGCCACACUGGGACUGAGACACGGCCCAGACUCCUACGGGAGGCAGCAGUGGGGAAUUUUGGACAAUGGGCGCAAGCCUGAUCCAGCCAUGCCGCGUGUCUGAAGAAGGCCUUCGGGUUGUAAAGGACUUUUGUCAGGGAAGAAAAGGACAGGGUUAAUACCCCUGUUUGAUGACGGUACCUGAAGAAUAAGCACCGGCUACUCUC